rnacentral:rRNA from 1 species
UACGGAGGGUGCAAGCGUUAUCCGGAUUCACUGGGUUUAAAGGGUGCGUAGGCGGCUAAAUAAGUCAGUGGUGAAAGCCCGCAGCUCAACUGCGGAAUUGCCAUUGAAACUGUCUAGCUUGAAUCUGGUUGAAGUGGGCGGAAUACAUCAUGUAGCGGUGAAAUGCUUAGAUAUGAUGUAGAACACCGAUUGCGAAGGCAGCUCACUAAGCCAACAUUGACGCUGAGGCACGAAAAGCGUGGGGUAGCGAACAGG